GACGAACGCUGGCGGCGUGCUUAACACAUGCAAGUCGAACGGAAAGGCCCUGCUUUUGUGGGGUGCUCGAGUGGCGAACGGGUGAGUAGCACGUGAGUAACCUGCCCUUGACUUUGGGAUAACUUCAGGAAACUGGGGCUAAUACCGGAUAGGAGCUCCUGCUGCAUGGUGGGGGUUGGAAAGUUUCGGCGGUUGUGGAUGGACUCGCGGCUUAUCAGCUUGUUGGUGGGGUAGUGGCUUACCAAGGCUUUGACUGGUAGCCGGCCUGAGAGGGUGGCCGGCGACAUUGGGCCUAAGAAACGGGCCAGACUACUACGGGAGGCAGCAGGGGGGAAGAUUGCACAAGGAGCGGAAGCCUGAUGCAGCAACGCCGCGUGCGGGAUGACGGCCUUCGGGUUGUAAACCGAUUUCGACUGUGACGAAGCGUGAGUGACGGUAACGGAUAAAGAAGCACCGGCUAACUACGUG
rnacentral:rRNA from 1 species